rnacentral:misc_RNA from 1 species
GAUGAAGAACGCAGCGAAAUGCGAUAAAUAAUGUGAAUUGCAGAAUUCAGUGAAUCAUCGAGUCUUUGAACGCACAUUGCGCCCCCUGGUAUUCCGGGGGGCAUGCCUGUCCGAGCGUCAUUGCUGCCCUCAAGCACGGCUUGUGUGUUGGGCCCCCGCCCCCCCCUCCCGGGGGACGGGCCCGAAAGGCAGCGGCGGCACCGCGUCCGGUCCUCGAGCGUAUGGGGCUUUGUCACCCGCUCUGUAGGCCCGGCCGGCGCCUGCCGACCACCAUCAAUCUUUUUUCAGGUUGACCUCGGAUCAGGUAGGGAUACCCGCUGAACUUAAGCAUAUCAAUAAGCGGAGGA